AAUCUUCCGCAAUGGACGCAAGUCUGACGGAGCAACGCCGCGCGAGUGAUGAAGGUUUUCGGAUCGUAAAACUCUGUUGUUAGGGAAGUACAAGUACCGUUCGAAUAGGUCGGUACCUUGACGGUACCUCACCAGAAAGCCACGGCUAACUCCGUUCCAGCUGCCGCGGUAAUAUGUAGGUGGCAAGCGUUAUCCGGAAUUAUUGGGCGUAAAGCGCGCGCAGGCGGUUUCUUAAGUCUGAUGUGAAAGCCCACGGCUCAACCGUGGAGGGUCAUUGGAAACUGGGGAACUUGAGUGCAGAAGAGGAGAGUGGAAUUCCAUGUGUAGCGGUGAAAUGCGUAGAGAUAUGGAGGAACACCAGUGGCGAAGGCGACUCUCUGGUCUGCAACUGACGCUGAGGCGCGAAAGCGUGGGGAGCAAACA
rnacentral:rRNA from 1 species